AUCACGGGGCGGUGACUGCUUGAGAGAAGAGCUCUCCUCUGGUCCUCAUCGCUAGGAAUCACUGGGCCUGGGGUGCCUGUUGCCUAGCUCUUUCUCAGCCCUUGUUAUAUUAUAUCCCCUUCCGAUGGCGUGCUAAUAUACAUGAAGUCCUCGGGAGCAUCCUGAGGAGAAACCCAAUGCCCAGAGGGAGCCGUGGAUUCUGGGUGCCAUGCUAUGCGUGGUGAUGGAUGUUAACAAGACUUCCUGUGGUGAUCAUUUUGCCAUAUUAACAAAUAUUGACUCAUUGUGUGGUACGCCAGAAACUAAUAUAAUGUUAUAUGUGAAUUAUACCUCGACCUGAGAACAACACAUCUUGUCAGAGGAAUUAGAACCUACUGCCUUGGAGUUCCCAUUUUCCCUGUGGUGCUUCCUUCAAAAAUUCUUCCUCUCUUGGGGCUGGCCCUGUGGCCGAAUGGUUAAGCUUGCGCGCUCUGCUGCAGGCGGCCCAGUGUUUCGUUAGUUCGAAUCCUGGGCGCGGACAUGGCACUGCUCAUCAGACCACGCUGAGGCAGUGUCCCACAUGCCACAACUAGAAGAACCCACAACGAAGA
rnacentral:lncRNA from 1 species